GAAGCCUUGGAAGAAGGUAGAAGCUUAAGAAAGAAAAUCUAAACUAGUGGGAAGCUAAUUGAAAGGGAUGAAAGUAAGGCAUGGUCGGAUGAAGGCAAGGAAUGAAGAACUUCAUCUCUAUUGAUCGAAUACCUACCCAAUGGGCUUUGAGGAGGUUGCCUGCAACCUUAACAAGGAUUUUUGGUGACUUCAAAGAGAGCAUUUGGG
rnacentral:lncRNA from 1 species